rnacentral:rRNA from 1 species
UAACACGUAGGGGGCAAGCGUUGUCCGGAUUUAUUGGGCGUAAAGAGCUCGUAGGCGGCUUGGUAAGUCGGGUGUGAAACCUCCAGGCUCAACCUGGAGACGCCACUCGAUACUGCUAUGGCUAGAGUCCGGUAGGGGAGCGUGGAAUUCCUGGUGUAGCGGUGAAAUGCGCAGAUAUCAGGAGGAACACCAGCGGCGAAGGCGGCGCUCUGGGCCGGAACUGACGCUGAGGAGCGAAAGCGUGGGGAGCGAACAGGAUUAGAUACCCUGGUAGUCCACGCCGUAAACGUUGGGCACUAGGUGUGGGUCGUACUCAACGCGAUCCGUGCCGUAGCUAACGCAUUAAGUGCCCCGCCUGGGGAGUACGGCCGCAAGGCUA